ensembl:lncRNA
CAACCAUUACCAUUACAACCAUCACAAACAUGACAACCAUCACAGCCAUUACCACCAUUACUAUUUCAACCAUCACAACCAGUCCAGUCUGGUGAGACGGAGGAAACAAUCACACCUGAUGACUUGUUUCAGUGACGACGAGGGAGGAGGGGUUGCUAUGGCAACAGAACAUCUUACAUUACCGAGCUGGCAGAUGAGAAGGUAAAACCCAACACCCACUAACGCGCACACACACACAUACAGGUCCCUGUGUGGACCAGGUCCCUGGGUGGACCGGGUCCCUGGGUGGACCAGGUCCCUGGGAGAGGACCAGGUCCCUGUGUGGACCAGGUCCCUGGGAGAGGACCAGGUCCCUGUGUGGACCAGGUCCCUGGGUCAGGCCGCCUUUCCCUUCGCUGGGAACACCACUUUCAUGUUUAUUCUUUUUUUAUAAAUUGAAUUACAGGCAAACCCCCCC